rnacentral:rRNA from 1 species
UACGAAGGGGGCUAGCGUUGCUCGGAAUUACUGGGCGUAAAGCGCACGUAGGCGGCUUGUUAAGUCAGGGUGAAAUCCUGGAGCUCAACUCCAGAACUGCCUUUGAUACUGGCGAGCUUGAGUAUGGGAGAGGUGAGUGGAACUGCGAGUGUAGAGGUGAAAUUCGUAGAUAUUCGCAAGAACACCAGUGGCGAAGGCGGCUCACUGGCCCAUUACUGACGCUGAGGCACGAAAGCGUGGGGAGCAAACAGG